CAGUGCUGCUGCCGCCGCCGCUCCGGCCGGGCCGUGCCGUGCCGCGGAGAGCGCCCGGCGGAGCGGCGCGGAGGGGAGCAGCGCGGCGUGAGUGGCGGCGGCGGGAACAGGAAUCUGGAGGACGCGGCGUCGUCAGGACGAGGGGCUGGUCCUGCAGGCACCUUGGGAGGAAGGGGCUGCCGUCUCCAGAUUGACCGGCUGCAGGAGUUUUGCUCUAUGGAUGGAAGCGUGCUGGUGGGAUCAUGUUUUCAAGAUGCUCUUUGCACUUAAACCGCCCCCACCGUGCUGAGUCGCAGUCGUGAAGCUGUCGGUGUUCUACUGGGAACAAGUGGGACAACUUGUUAAAAGCAGACACGUCUUUGCUUGAGAUAUCGAUCACUACAUGAAGAGAACAAAGUCUGAAGACUUCUAGGCUACCUUAUCUUGGCAUACCAAUGAGGCUGAAGGUGGAGGAGGCACUGUCAUAAAUCAAGCUGAAGGAAGAGGAACAAGGAAAGAAAACGGGUCGGUGUAAUUGCAGAAAAAUGAAUCAUCGGUGCAUCUAUAAAUAAAUUCCCUAUACAAAGAAGAGGAGGGGACUGGUACCAGGGAACAAGACUGAAAAGGAGAUAGUGAAAAGGCUGAACCACGAAGACUUCCCACAAAGCAUGUACCCAAUCAAAAGGCAUCACCACCAUAUGGCUUGGAAUUCUGCAGGCCAAGUGACCAACUGAGUGUUGCCAAAAGCAAUAUCUAAAUGCUGAACACUUCUUGUGUUUAAUUCUGGUUUUAAUAUGUGCAUCUCUUUUUCUUAUCCAGAUGUUAAAUUUAACUUUGUCUGACAAUUAGCUUGCUUUGGCAUGUCUUUUCUUUCUAACUCGCUUGAAACAGUCUGUUCUUUCUCAUCCUAUAAAUGUGAUCUCAUUGGCCAAUGAACUCACACAGAUUUUCAUUCUUUAAAUCAGUACACUAAGAAGUGUCAGGCUGAAUUUUAAAAUUGGGUUUGGAUAAUGUAUGUACAGUGGAUGGAUGUGAGCAGAGCUACUAACCUUUAUUUGUGGGUGAAUUUGUUGGAUCAUAGAAAAACUUAGUGCAUUGAGAGCUUUGGGUCUAUUCAAAGUUAUUAUUCCUGCACUUCCUUUCUUUUCGAACACCACUUCAUCUGUAGAAUUUGUAUGCUUAGACAUCUUCUGUACAUGCAAAAAACAAAUAAAUAAA